rnacentral:rRNA from 1 species
AACGAACGCUGGCGGCAGGCCUAACACAUGCAAGUCGAACGCUCUAGCAAUAGAGAGUGGCAGACGGGUGAGUAACGCGUGGGAACCUUCCCAGUGGUGCGGAAUAGCUCAGGGAAACUUGGGGUAAUACCGCAUGAGCCCGAAAGGGGAAAGAUUUAUCGCCAUUGGAUGGGCCCGCGUAGGAUUAGCUAGUUGGUGAGGUAAUGGCUCACCAAGGCAACGAUCCUUAGCUGGUUUGAGAGAAUGACCAGCCACACUGGGACUGAGACACGGCCCAGACUCCUACGGGAGGCAGCAGUGGGGAAUAUUGGACAAUGGGCGCAAGCCUGAUCCAGCCAUGCCGCGUGAGUGAAGAAGGCCCUCGGGUUGUAAAGCUCUUUUGUCCGGAAAGAAAAGCAUCUGGUUAAUACCCGGGUGUUCUGACGGUACCGGAAGAAUAAGCACCGGCUAACUUCGUG